GGAGCCUCCCGCCGGCACUGCACCCGCGCCUCCAGGUCUCCGGACGCGCUCGCUCUGCCAGCACCCUCUCCCCGCAAGGCGAACCCUACCAAGCCAGGCCAGGACCCCAAAGAACCUCUCACUCUCCUCUUCCCACCCAGAGUUACUUCUCCCAAACCUUUGGGGUACGCGAACCGGGAGUGACCCACGGUGAGGGAGGGGCGGUGACUCCUAGAACAGCCGCGCGGGGGAGGGCCGUGGAGGGCAGGUGAGUCACUGCACAGGUGAGUCUCAGGGCGCGGCCCCGACAGACCCUGCCCCCCGCUCGACGCCCGCGGGUCGGGGCGAGGCGGCGCGAAGUCCUGGGCGUGCUGCCCUGAGCAAUGGCACUGGUGUCACGGAGUCCCAGGCUCCCAGAAAAGUGCGCUAAGCCCACUCCCUACCUUUUCCAAAGGAGAAACUGAGGUCAGAUAGAAUAUGCCACCAUUCAGGGCAGAGUGAAAGAAUCCGAGCCUCCUGACCCCUUGGGCUAGGGCUACAGCUCAGUUACUGUGUGCUUGGCCAGCAUGAGCAAGGCCCAGCCCAAUCCCCAGCACGGUCCUGGAAAUCACCUACCUGUCCCAUCACGCAACAGAUGGCAAAACUGAAAGCCCUCCCAAUCCAAAGCAGGAGUCACCCAACACAAAUUCGAGGGACCUGACGUACCCCUACUUUCUAACCAUUUAGGUAAUUUUAUUUACAUCCUUCUUUCCUUCUUGCUGAAUACUCAUAAAACAUACAAAACAAACCUUAAAAAAAAAAAGCAUACUGGAGCCAGACAUGGUGCAUACCUCCAUCCAGUCCCAGCCCCCAGGAGUCUAAAGCAGAAGAAUCACUGAUGGUGAGGUCAGCCUGGGCAACACAGUGAAUUCAAGGCCAGUCCAAAUUGCAUAGGGAGACCCUGUCUCAAAAAAAGUACUGAAAUUGAACUCAGGGGCCUUCACAUUGAGCUACAUUCCCAGCCUUUUUUUAAAAUGUAUUUUUCUACAGGAUCUCAUUAAAAACUGCUAAUUUGCCUGGGCUGGGCUUAAAUUUACUAUCCUGCUUCAGCUUCCCAGAGUGCCUCCAAAGCCCUACCUUCGUGAGUCUAUUGUAAAAUCAUCAGCCCUUGAUCAUUCUUCUCAAAACACGUCGUUCCUCAUGGGCCUCCAGGACCCAGUCUUUAGGAUUGUGCUUCAACCUCACUGGCUUUUAAGUCUCAUUAAAGCAUGCCUUCUCAAUCCUCCUGGACUCUGUUGAAGCACUGGUUCUUCUUAAAGCAUGCGCUGGGAAUCCCUGACAACUUCUCUGGGAGAAAGGUAAGAGCUAUUUGCAUAAUAAUGAAGUAUUACUUGCCUUUUCCACUACUGUUCUUUGGUGGGUGUAAAUUAGAGUGUUCCACAAACUAUAUAAUGUAUGGUAUGGCAUCACAUGGAGUAUAAAAGCAGAUUUGAGAAUCCAGCCAUCUUUUAUUAAGCCAAACUUAGAGAUAGGAAAAAGUGCAGGAUAACACUUCUCCCUGAGUUUUAUUCUUUUAUUAAAAAUUUUAUCCUUCAUUAAAGAAAUAUUGACAGAUAAAACUUAGAUAAGCUGGGCUAACAGUUUAGCUCAAAGGCAUAAGUGCCUGCCUGGCAAAUGUAGGGUCCUGAGUUGGAUUCCCAAAACCAAAAAAAAAAAAAUUACAUAAGCAAGAGCUCCAUGAGACCUUUAAAAUUUUUCAUAGUGUAAAAUAAUUUUAAGAUUAAAAAAAAAAACUUAAGAACUACUACUAGAGUGUCCUGCAGGCCCACUCAUUUUUCCGUUACCAAACUACUGAUGAUCUUAUUUAUUUAGUCUUUUGGCUAUACAUAUGCUGAUAGAUUGAGAUUUACAUCUUAAACCUGACGCUUCUCCUCUAUUCCAGCUCCCUACUUAGUAUCUCUAUUAGGAUAUCUAGUAAAUAGUGAAACACCUUAAACUUCACAUGUCUGUAUGUCCAGAACUAACUUAAUACCUCUGUCCAAACCUGCUGACUUCACAGGGUUUUGGUUUGUUUGUUUGAUUGGUUGGUUUGAUUCGGUUUGUUUGUUUUUUUAAACAGUGUCUUUACUAUGUAUUUCAGGCUAACUUGAACUCACUACAUUGCCCUCUAGGAGAUCCUCUGCCUAGCCUUAUGAUUAUGGGGUUAUAGGCAUGUACCACCACUCCUAGCUUGAUCUCACAGUUGUUUUUUGUUUUUUUCCUUAAAUUAGUGACUCCAUUCUUCAAAAACCUUGAAGUUAUCCUUGACUAUUUUGUUUCACUUACAUUUUUUGCAUCUGAUUCCUUCAAAAUAUAUUCAGAAUCCAGUGACUUUUUAAUUUCUCCAUUAUUAUCAUACUAAACUAAACCAUCAUCAUUUCUGCCUGAAUUUCAUAGGAGGCACCUACUGAUUUCCCUGUUUCUACCCUUGCCUCACUCAGUCUCACCUCAGUUCAGCAGCCUGAGUGCUCCUGUUAAAGCCUAAGUUGCAACACGUUGCCCCUAUGCUGCCAAACCUCCAACAGCUCUCACUAAGAACAAAAGUGACAUCCUUAUAAGGGCCUGCAGCGCUCACUUCCCCCCACUACUUCUCUGACAUAGUGACCUCCUUACUAUUCUUGAAACAGCUCAGGCAGUCUCUUGCCUCAGGGCUUUUCCUUUCUGCCUGGAAUUCUUUCCUCCUAAUACCUUCCUGACUCACUCCCUUGCCUCUGGUAGGCCUUUGCUGAGCUGUCACUUUUUAGUGAGGCUUCCUCUUGCCCACAGUUUCUAAAAAUUACAAACCCUGCCUCCGACCCCUCUCUUCCUUAUUGAUUUUUCUUCUUAGUGUGUAUACCUUGACAUAGAAAGUCAUAUUUGUCAUACAUAUAUAUUUUAAUGUAUAUAUUGUAUACAAAGCCACAUAUAUUUAAUUUUAUAGUUCAUUUCUUUUUUCAGUCUUCCUUCCAUUAGCAUUUGUGGAACAUGCGGGCCACGUCUAUUUUGUCUAUUUUGUUCAAGAGGUCCCUGGUACCUAGACUAGUACUUAUCACAUAGCAGUGUCCUCAAUAAAUAUUUGUUGAAUCAAUGCAUAAGUGAGAUCUAGAGAAGAUGUCAAUAAAGUAGACGGGUAGGAAAGGAAUAUGAUUGUAGACCAAUAAAAUAAGCAAGGUUGAAGCUCCUGUGUCCCAUUCCAGGAAAAAAUGCCCUGUACUUUGAGAGCUAGCCAGCUUGGCAGAGGCCAGACUGGAGAGGACUUUGUAAGGCUAAAGCCUUUAGUGUGAGAGAAAUGCUAAAGGCUAAAGACUUUAGUGUGAGAGAAAUGGGAAGCCAUGAGAGAUUUUACACAAAAGGAUGACAUGAUCAUAUUUUGAUUUUUUAAAAUUCGCUUUGAAAAAAAAGAUAGUAAAGCAGUGCACGUAAUAUUCCAUUUAUGCUUAAAUAAUGAGCACAUAACUGUUUCAAAGCCAUUUCCUCAUUGCAGCUGAACUGUGUGUAUGUUUUGUUUUGUUUUAUUUUGUUGCUUUUUGAGAUAUGGUCUCACUAACCUGAACUUACUAUGUAGCCUCUUCUGUCCUCAAAUUCACCUCCUGCCACACUGGAAUACUUUUAAGAUAUGUCAUUCUUUGUUCCAUUGCUUCCCAUCUCACUCUUGAGUAAAAUCUUGUUGAUCUUGCACAGUCAGACCACUCUCUGGGUUGUUAUUGUGGUUGUUUUCCAUGUUUUUACUCAAGCCCACCCUGAGGUCCAAGACAUUCCGGUUAGUCAUCAACCAUCCACUUGACUCAAGGCCUUUGCAUUUCCAGUUCCCUGUGCUUGGAAUAGUCUUCCCCUGGUAACAUCACUUCAUUCAGAUCUCUGGUCAAAUGUCACCUUGUCCAAGAAGCUUUCCUGAUCACUGUUGGUACAAACGCACCAGCUGCUACUUCCCUUUUCCCCUCCCCAUUGUAUUUUCUUACUUUACUCUUUGUAGCACUUACUGCCUUGACGUACUGUAUGAUUAUUUACUUACCUAUAGCCUAUAGAAUGAAAGUGUCGUGCUAGGUGCAUGGCACAUAUCUGUAAUCCCAACUACUUAUGCGGCUAAGGCAUAACAAGUUUGAGUCCAGCCUAGACAAUUUAGACAUUUAGCAAGACCUAAUCUUAAAAAACAAACAAAUUUAAAAACUAAGAAUAAAAAGAGUGGAGAAUAUAGCUCAGUACAAAGGUCCUGGGUUCAAUCCUCAACAUCAUUAAAGCAGAUCUUUUCUCUCUGUUAUAAUAACUCUAGCACUUAGAAUAGUGCCUCACAGGAAAUGGGUACUUAAUUUAAUGAACGAAUAGUUACAAGUCUGUAGAGAUACACAGCAAAGUGUUACAGUGGUUGCUUGCAGGAAAGAGAUUGAGAGGACUUUUAUAGGAUAGGUACAUAGUGUAACAGAUAGUACAGAAUAGUAGUGAGGGUGAAAAGAAGUGGGUAGAUUUGCAAGCUAUGCAGAACAGAAGAUCCUAGGCCUUGACAGAGGAUUGGAUGUAGAAAUAGGGAAGAAGUCCAGGAUGAAUCCAAGGUUGCUAGUUCAAUCAGUAGAGGAAGCAGCAGAGCUAUUUAUUUCUAUUUACAUAGAAAGUCCAAGAGAUAAAACAGGUGGAAAAUAAUGCAGACAGCUAAUUUUCAGUCAUGUUUAGUUUCAGCAUCCACCAAACAUAUAACAGGAGAUCCUGUAGACAGGAGAAUAACCAGAUGUCAGCUCAGGAAAGGCUCUGAAUGGAGCGAGAGAUGUGAAAGUCAAAAUACUGAGAGAAGGAGCAGCGAAAAGAGAUGGAGGCCUAGGAUCAUGUGGUCUUGUCAGAUUUUCUUAAUUCUCUGCUGCUAUAAUUUAGUAUUAGUGACUGAAACAUAAAAUAUACCUUUAAAAUAUUAGCUAAGGACAGGGUGUGACUCACUAGUAGAGCACUUGUCUAGCAUCCACAGGGAUGAGGGUUCAGUUCCCAGCACUGACAAAUGAACAAAAAUUUUCAGAAAAAAUGAAAAACCAUAGACAGAGGGAAAAAAAUCAUAAAAGUAUCAUAAAACCAUAACAUCAGAAUUGUCAAAAAAGAUGAACUAUCAGAAAUCAGUUUAGAGAUUUUUCCAUAUCAUGGUGACCUCAUUAUUAUUUACCUACAAUAUACUAGCAAAUGGUUUUGCAGAGUACAAAGCACUUUUUCCUGAAUGUUACUUCAUUUGAGAUACUCCUAAACCCUUAAGGAAGUGAGUAAAAUCCCAGAACAAUGAAGUCAAGGACUGACAAAGCAUCUUGUAAGGAAAGCUGGGAAAUCUUUACCUCUUGGUGUAGCCACAGAACAUGAGCACUCCUCCCCGACUAGGCCCCAUAGAAAACAUCAAAGGGACUCUUGGUAUAGCUUGGGGAGAGCUGACAAAGGAGACAGCAGAGCCAAGUGUAUGACUACAUUAUGGUUAGCUGAGCCUGACGGCACUGGUUGCCUUUCAGCUCCUUUUCAGAUGAGUGGGAGAAGAGCAGCAGGCCUUGCUACUCUAGGACUUUUGUUGUGUUAGCUUAGUAAACAGCAGGGCAUUUCCAUUCUCAUACAGCUCAGUAAUUCUCAACUCUGACUGCUCAUAAGAAUCACCUGGAGAGCUUUUCUAAAAUAUGAUAUCCAGAAACCAUCUCCAGAGACUCAGAUUCAGUUGUUCUUGAGGAGGGAUUUAGCAUUUUUAAAAAUUUCCCUGGGUGGCUCUAAUGUGUAGCCAGCAUUCAGAGUCACUGAUGCCUAGACUAAGCCUGAGCAGAAAACAAAAUAAAGUCAUAUACAUUCAGAAUUUAUUAAUUUAGUUGCUCAUACAAUAAUUGUUUUAAUUUUUGAUGACUCAAAUAAUAUAUUUACUGUCUUUGGUAUAUUAGGGCUAAGAGCUUCAUAUUUUAUCAAAGCCAUUCCAUCACCCUUCAGUAGUUACUACUGUAACCUCAUAAGAAAAAAAAGGCUUAGAUCAUUCUGGAAAUACAAAAUAGGGCUGGAACCCAGAUCUCCCUGAGUCCAAAAGUGAGGAAGUGGGCAUUUAGCUUAGUGGUAGUGUGAGGACUUGGGUUUGGUCUUUGGCAGAAUAAAAAAAAAAUCUAUAGCCAUGCCCGAUUAGUCUCUGAAAUGUCAAUGAUAAAAAAGAAAGAAAGAGAAAACUAUUUUAUAAAGCAUAUUCAAAAUAGUUUUCAUGUCAAGACUUUAUUCAUAAUAAAAAAAAGACUUUAUUCAUGGAAGUAAUUUAAAUGCCUUGUAAUGCUGUAUUUAUUUUGUCUUCAUGCACAGCUUCUAGCAGGUGAAGUUCUUGAGGGGGUGGGCAGGAUAGAAAUUCAAGCACAUCCCUUCCAGGAGAACUUUUCUAACAGGAUGGCUUUGCCUUAACCAAUGAGUUGAAUUUUAAACAAAAAGAACCAAGCACAGUUCUUUGAUACUUACAAAAGAUGUGUGAGCUUCACUUUAUUCAUGUUAUUCAUCUUUCCUACAAAAACAGGAAUCAAGAUUUAGUUCUUAAAAAUCAGUCAGCAGUGGGUGUUCGUGAUUCUUUCUCCUUUGAUAUAAUCAAAGAUAUAUACAUAAAAACAAACACUCCCCCUCCAUUUCAUGUUUAUAUUUGCGUUAAUAACAGUGAGGAGAGAGAACUUGUAGGGGGAAAAGUUAAAGACUGUGACAACCUAGAAAAAUUUUAUAUAUAUAUAUAUAUACAAAUGUUAUUUUAAGAGGUGAAGGAGGUAGAGGAAGGAAGUUAUUUUUUCUUGUAAGUACCAGUGAGCUUUAUUAUGGAAACCUGGCUCUCUGUAUUCACCAUUCAAAAUACUCUUUUUUGUCUCACAUUUUCAAAUUUUCAUAGGGAUCUGAAAAGGGCUAUAAAGUAAGAUUUGCUAUAUUAUAAUAUAAAUUGAAUUAAAUGAAGACACUUUAGAUCUUAGAUGUGUUGGUGGAUGAAUCACCUGUCUUCAUUGUUUCUGUUGCCUGCCAAUGUUUUGUUUUUGUUUCUUUAAAUUCCAAGAAACUUGGAGAAAAAGAAAAUCAGAGAGCUCCAUGAGUUAGGAAUCUUUAUGUAUCCUAUGGGUCCCCCUAUGGCUCUCUGAAUAAAGGAUUUAAACUGGAAGCCAGAGAGGCCUUUGUUUUUAGUUUAUCUGUAUUGAAUUUGGCUGUGGGUUGGAUGGAGUCAGGCAGGCCAAGUUGACUGUGGGAUUUCUAGACACUAUGAGCUCACAAUGGAGUCUGGCAAAGUUUCAUUCCAUCCUGGCUCCCUCUAUCAGCUCUUAGCAGGCCAGCUUUUUUUUUUUUUUUUUUUUUUUUUUAAUUUCUUUAGUCACAAUAAAUUACCCUUAUGUCUGCCUGGGAGUCUGGAAGGACCUGCCUACUGCCACAGAAGGCUAUUAUUGUAUUCAUUCAUUCAUCCUUUCAUGUGCUCAAUCAACACUACGGUGUCCCACACAUUGUACUGAACCAAGAGAUACAGUGGUGGGGAGCCUUCAUGAAAUUUAAGUUCAAGAGAGGAAGAAAGACAAUAAAUAGGUCACAAGUGAGCAGUAUGAUUUCAGAAAAGGGUCAAUGGUUAGGAGAUAGGAAGGAAGGGUACUCACUUAAAUAGCUGAGCCAGAAAAGUCUUCAUUGAGAAGCUGAGGCGGAACGACUGGAAUGAGCCUUAGGCUGGGAGAGGAAUAAGCCUGGCCUGUUCAAAGUGUGUGGAGGGCGGUAGUUGAGGAUAAGAGUAGCUGUAAAUGAGAGUGGAAGAAGUAGGGGUCAAAUCAUGUAAGACUUUGUAGGUGAGGAAUUUGGAUCUUUAGCUUAAGAGCAAUGAGGGGACACCAGAGAUACAGCUCAGAGGCACAGUACCUGCCUGGCAAGCAAUUCCUGGUACCAAAACAAAACCAAAAAAGAGCAAUGCAGGGGGAAGGGCAAUGGGAAGCCCCAUAGGAUUAAACAGCAGAGUGAACGCAACCCAAUCUGCAGUUUUAAUUACUUUUUAGGGUCUCACUGUCCUUGAACUUGCUAUGUAGCCCAGGUUGGCCUUAAAAGAUCUUCCUGCCUCAGCAUCCUGAGUACUGGGAUUACAUGUAUGUCACCAUGCCUGGCUUCUGAUCUACAUUUUUAAAAGGCUGCAUUUUGAUGUAUAAAGAACGCAGUAUAGCCCGGUGCAGUGGUGUGCACCUAUAAUCCCAGCUACUUAGAAGGCUGAGGUAGGAGGACUGCUUGAGCUGAGUUCAGGUCUGUUGUAGGAAAUACAGGGUAGAGCCUAUCUAGAAUAAAAGAAAGAAGAAAGAAAGGGAAGAGAGGGGGAGGAAGAAGAGGACUAAGGGAACGUCAUAAUCCAAAGCCUGUCAUCGUUCGUUCAUUUAUUCAUGUACUCAGGGACAUCACUGAGCCAGCAUAAGGCCAGGGGUAUAUAGUUCCAGCCCACGAGACUGAGGCAAGACUUGAACCCAGGAGUUUGAGACCAGCCUGGGAAACACAGCAAGUGCCAAGCAAUGGGUCAAGCAUAGGGAAAUCACAGUGAGAAAAUGGUAUUCCUCCUCACAAAGAGUUUAAAAAGUAGCUAGGUAAGCCAAGCGUGACGGCAGAUCUUGUAAUCCAAGCUGCUUGGGAAGUGAGGCAGGAGGGUCACAAGUUCAAGAUCAGACUAGGCAACUUAGCAAGACCCUUUCUCAAAAAAUAAAAAAAGGACUGGGGAUGUAGUUCAGGAGGAGAGUGCUUGUUCAUUUAUUAGUCAGCUUUCUCAUGACUGAGAUAUACCUAAAAUCCAUACUUUAAAGGGGGGAGAGGUAUAAAUAAUUUAGCUCAUGGCUUCAGGAGAUUCAGGCCAUGAUUAGAAGGCUUCAAGGGAGAAACAUCACAGCAAAAGACUGCGGAAGAGCAAAGAUGCUUAGUUCAUGGCAGCUGGGAAGCAGCACAGGGAACAGUGCCAGAAGAUGAGGGAUCAGAGAGACCACAAGGUCGUAUCUCCAUGACCUGCCCAGACGCAUCCAGAAGUGCGCUUUGUUAAUCCCUUGGUGGCUCAUAAGCUGAUCAAGUUGAAAGUCCACAUUAUCCAUCACACCUAACAUAUGUGAGGCUCUGGUUUCAAUCCCAGGUACUAUGAAAUAGAAAUAAAACAAAGCAAACAAAAUAAUGUAAAAUCUGGGCCCUUAAACUAAAUUCUGUCAUAGGGUUAACCUCCAUAUGUUAUGGAAGCCCAAAGAAAUUCAUGUAUUUAAUAAAUAUUUAUGUGCUAAGCUCUUGGGAUACAAUAGUAAACUAAACAGAUGAGACCUAUACCUUCAUGAUAUUUACAGACUAAUAGGGAAGACAGACAUUAACAAAACACUCUCAUGUACCUAUCAUUACCUAUUGUGCUACGCGUUAUGAAAGAAAAAUAACAUGAGAAUGUAUGAGAAGGGACUGUGUGAUGAUGGAAGCGGAUUCCGAAAAGGUGUUUGAGCUGCACCUGAAAGAUGAGCAGAAGGUAAGGAGUUAGGCAGGGUAAAGGGAGAGAAGGGAGGACGCUGCGGCCCACUGAGCUCCGAUUCCAGCUCUGCGGAUUAGGAAAGACUUCCUGACAACUAGGCUGUCCUGAAGAAGACGUAGAAGUUGUCCUGGUGAAGAGGAGUUGAACAGGAAGGAAAGACACCCCAGAACAACUGCAGAGCCCGUGCAUGGACUGCAGAGAGGGGGCAAGUGGUUUGAUGUAGCAGGAUUACAGCGUGGGAAGAUAGAGCAUAGUCAAAGAAAAUGGAAAAACGAGCAAGAUUGAAAUCAUGUCAUGGUAGGUAUGGUGGCUCAGGCCUGUAAAUCCUGACACUUAGGAGGCUGAGGCAGAAGGCUUGCAAGUUCAAAUCCAGCCUGGGCUUCAUAGAAGAUGCAAGGUCAGUCCCAGGACUAUACAGUAAGGCCCUAUCUCAGGAAAAAAAAGAAGAAAAAAAACAUCAUGCUAAGAUUUUGUUUUGAGUUUCAUUCUGAGAGGCAGCAAGGAUCUGCUAAACAAUUUUUUAAAUUUAUGUAUUUAUUUGGUACCAGGGAUUGAAUUCAUGACCUCACAUUUGCCAAACAGGCAUUUACACCUGCUGAGCUAAACCCCCGGCCCUGCUAAACAAUUUUAAACAGGACACUGCCUGGACAAUUAGACCAUCAGGAGCUGCUUGAGCCCUACAAUGUGCCACACUUUGUCGAGAAAAGUGGGUUCUACUGAAAAUGCCCAUGAUGCUCUCUGUGAAAGCCUAUUGGGAUUUUCUGGGCUAAACAAGGACCAGAGUAGCAAAUGACUAUAGCCACUCCAUUACUGCUUCUUUCCCGUGGACCAGCAGGAGCCGUGAAUUCAGAAGGCAUCUGCUUUUGAUCCCUAGCAGAAAGAAGAAGGAGGAAGAUGAGGAGAAGAGAAAGAUGAAGGAGAAAGGGAAGAAAGGAAAGGGAAAGAGGAAGGAGGGGCAAGGGGGAAGGCUUCUGCUUGUUAUCCUGAGCACUGGCUCCUUAAUGCCCCCAGGACUGACACCCCAGGAACUCCAGGUUUCCUUUGCCUAGUAGACCAUUGCUAGACCAUUAGUAGACCUAUACUAGACCAUUAUCUAGCAUACAGGACAAAGUCCCUUUAGAUAUCAAUAGCUUAUUCUUUCUCAUUCAUUCGUGCAAGAUAUGGCUGACACUCCCGCACCCUGCCAAUUCCUGUCAUUUGCUCCCAACAGUCUCACCUUCUCUUGAAACUUUCAACCAAGUGCCUGGCUCUCCCAUACUGAGAGCAGCUCCUGUACUUCCUAAACUUGUGAGAGUGAGAAGUACAGGAGCCUGUAUGAGAGGCCUUAGGCUUAGAGGUGGGAGAAAAGGUAGCCUGUGUCUCCACUGAGGCUAAGGCUCAGGAUACCGCUGUGAGAUUCCUAAAUUUAAAUAUAUUCUAGGCCUGUGGUUUCCUGUCUUGGAAGAACAUCCUAUGGUUACAAGACAGUUCAAAACAAUUUAGCCUGUUCUACAGAUUCUUUGGGAUCUCUUUCUUUUCACCAGCUGCCCCCUAAUCCUGGGGAGCUUUCUUUCCCUAGAUCUGCCUAUGGUUGCAUCCUUUUAACAUUCAGGUUUCAACUCAAAUGUUACCUCCUCAAAAUCCCCUUCCUGACUACUCAUCUAAGGUAUCUGAAUAGUUACUCUCUAUUCUAUCACUCUUGUAUAUUUUCUUCAUAACACUUGUCAUCAUUCAUAAUUGUUUGUCUACUUGCUUAUGAUUGCUGUUCACCCUCUAGGAUGUGAUUUCAUAGCAGGGACCUUGUCUGUCUUGUUCACUGUUUAUCUCAGAACCUAGAACAAUGGUCAGCACAGAGUAGGUAGUGAGUAAAUAAUGAACAAACGGGCCUUGCCUCUUUUUCCAGCCUCAUCCCAUCCUGAUUCUAUACUUACUCUGUGAGCGUAAGUGGGAUAGAGGUUCAUGGAGGUCUUCAGAUCUGCCUUGCUAAUCAGAGCCCCUAAUUCCUUCACUCUGGACCAUCUUUCCUUUCUCCCAACUAUCCAUCAUUUUGCUCCAAUAUUUAUUCUCCCUUUUAUUACAGACUCUGAAAUACUCCCAGAAAUAUUCAACCCUGAUACAUACUCUGUCCAGACUCAUCUCUCUGUGUGGUAAUGGCACAUCCACCUGACACCUACCCCACCUUCUGUUAGCUCCAAAAGGAGACUACUCAUUCACCUCCUCAUCCCUAGCAUGCAGCACAGUAACCAGCACACUGCAGGUAACUUCACUAAUGUUUGUUGAUUGACCAGACAGAAUGAUGCAGUUCAGAGAAAUGUGAAUUGGAAACUACUCAUUUUUAUGGCAGUGAUAGGAAGGGUUGUUAUGAAUAUGAACUUAAGCACAGAAGCCCCCUUUCCUAUAGGCUACAGCAGGAAAACAACACCAUUAUUAAAUUCCAGUAACUAACAUCACCAGAGGAUCAAGAGGUCUAGAGAAGUGCCCACAAGUUUGUGCAGUGCUCGCCACUCCACAAGCACAUUCUCAACGCUCAUCGUUGGAAGCCAAGGACAAGGAAAGUGUUUUCACCUUAUUUGUGACUCUCAGAGAGAUUGGUGCCCAAGGCGGCACCAGCAGGAGUGAACUGCUGUGUAGCUGCACCUUUAUUCUGCUACUUGGAAGCCCUUAACGUGCUCAUCCAACCUUCAGUUGCUAAGCUCCUAGAAGUCUCUAUAAUUAUUGUUGUCUAAAAUAAAGAACAGCAGAAUAUAUAAUUAGUUGCUUUUAAUAAAACCAUUUGUGAAGAUGCUGAUGAUGAUAGCAAUUUUGAUAAUGAUGAUGAUGACACUAUCCCUGAAGGCAAGGAGGAGAGAACCCUUACCUUAGAAUGGAGCCAGGGCUAGUAUUACAGGAAAAGGGCUGAUCAGGAUGUAGCAUUGCCUAGCACCUGAGCUGGACCCCCGAGUGGGACCACCUGUGACCUUCUCAGAGUGCCACUUCUCACUGGCUGUUUGGCCUUGCCAAACCUGAUUUCUUCUCUCUAGGUGAAAAAACUACUCACUGAAACCUAGGGGUGGUUGGGAGGCUCUGUUCAAAUAAUGUCUCCAAAGCAUUAUUAUAGUAUCUGUAUCACAAUAAAUGCUAAGCUAUUUUUUUUUUUUGAGACAAGGCCUCACUAUGUAGUUCAAGCUGGCCUUCAACUCACUAUGUAUCCCAAGCUGACCUCAAACUCACAACAAUCCUCCUGCCUCAGCCUCCCAAAUGCUAGAAUUACAGACAUGAGCUACCACAUGCAGGUCAGAUUAUUACAUAUAGCAUAUCUUAUGACGGGCUAUGUUCUACAUAUUUCACAUAUAUCACUUAUAUUGUAACCGUAUAAGGCAGGUGCUAACAUCAUCUCUGUUUUAUAUUGGGAAAAAAAAAACUAAGACAGAGGAAAAUUAAAUAAUUUGGCUAUGAUUUCAGAAAGCACCAGAGCUGGGUGCUGAACACAGGGUAGUCUGAGUCCAGAGCCUGACCUCCUAACCAUUACAUGACACGGCUAUGACUGCUAUGGGCAUACACUGCUCAGAACCUUGUGGGGAGCAGAGCUGGCUGAUCUUGGGAUUCACCACAGAACUCGCAUAAUUCUAUUCUUCCCCUGAGUCACCCCAGUCACAGGCUCAGGACUAGAAUUAAACCAUUCCUGCCCAACACAGGACUCCUCUAAUGAGCCACUGAUAUGAAACACACAAUAACAUAAAAUCAACUAUAUAAUCACUUUUCAGUGGCAUUAAACACAUUCAAAUAGCUGGCAUUAAACAUAUUCAAAUAGCACCACAACCACCCAUCUCCAUCUUCCCAAACUGAAACUCCCAAUCCAUUAAAUAAUAAUCCCUCCACUAUCUAUUACCACGCCAUUCCCUGGAAACUAGCAUUCUACUUGUUUUUCAUAAACUUGUCCAAUCUCGGUGACUCAAAUAAGUGGAAUCAUUUGUUCUUUUGUGACUGCUUAAUUUCACUAAGCAUAAUAUCUUCAGAGUUUAUUCAAGUUGCAGCAAGUUUCAGAACUUCCUUCUUCUCUAAAGGAAAAUAAUAUUCCAUGGUGUAUAUAGACUACUUUCUGUUUGUUCAUUCAUUUGAUGGGCAACCUUUGCUCAGGGACUCUCAAUCAGAUUGGCUAAGAUGAUUUCAGAACUACACCUUAGUCUGAAAGUCUUCCUACCAGUCCAUCCUCACUCUGUUUCCAAGUUGUCAGACCUGCAUGACAGUUUGACAUGGCUCACCCCCUUCUGCUGAAUCUCUCCCUCUAGUUUUCCAAGUAAUACCUUGCAAGCCUAAUCUCAUCUUGCUGUUUGUUUGUCAGAGAAGCACACUGCUACAACAGCCUCUUAGGAAACGUUAUUUUUUAUUAUUUCUUGGAAAGAAGAAGAUGUAUUUAAGGCAAAUUUACAAAAACGAUUUAGAAUAAAUUUCUUUCGAUAUAUAUAUGUAUAUAUUGAAAGACAUUUCACUAUAUGUAUAGAAGAAUUAGAAAACACAGAUAAGUAAAAAAGAGAGAAAUAAUUCCCCUGCUACUCCACUACCCUGAAUGAUUUUCAGUCAUCACUAUUUUCAUUUUGAGGUAUAUCUGUCUAGAUUUUUAUGUCUAUUUAUGCAGUAUCACAUUCUUUUUUAGGAAACCAGCUUCUCCCUUAAGAUGAAUUGGAUGGAAUUGACUCUGCUGAGCUUACAUUCCAAGCUUAACUUAAUUUAGGAACACAGUCAUUCAUACAUUCAUUUAAAAAAUAUUUAUUGAGCACACAGAAUAUAAGACAGAUACAACUCUUGCCAGUCGAAAGUGUACAGUCUAGUAGAUACUAGAGACAUAAUUCUAGUGAAUUACAGUACACUGCUCUGCAGACCGAGCACGGCCACCCAGUAUAAAAUGGUUUCUUAAUGAGAGUAGUAUUUAAAUCAAGUGGUAUUUAAGUUGUGAGAAAAAACAAGGAGUUAACCAAACAACAGAGAAAGAUUUCAAGAGACAUCAUUAGGCUAGUACCUAUCCAAAAGGGACCAUAUAUAAAAGAUUUGGUUGCCUAUAGAGCAGAGAUGACUGUUCACAACCACCAAAGAGGGGCUGGCGAUUUAGCUCAGCAGCAUAAGCACCUGCCUUGCAAGCAGGCAGUUGUGAGUUUGAUCCCUGGUACCGAUGAAAAAAAGGAAAAACACAACCACCAAAGAAAAUAAAUGACUCUGUGUGUGUGUGUGUGUGUGUGUGUGUGUGUGUGUGCGUGCACGCACACGCCACUCAGCUUGAGCAAAAGAUAAGAUCUUAAGCAUUCAAGGGUUCUUGAACAAAUUAUUAGUGGAGAAAGUAGAUACUCAGGCACCUACCAGAGGAGAGGAACUAAUUGGUUUUUAACAUUGGCUUGGAAAUAUUGGUUAAGGAUUAAGAUCUCUGUGGUUAAGAAUGGCUGCAUUUCCAUUGCUAUAAAGUCUAUAGGUCUAAGACACCACCAGAUAUCAAGAAGACACUCAGGAGCUUGGGCUAUGGCUCCACAGUACAGACCUUCCCUAGCAAACACAAGGCCCUGGGUUUGAUCUCUACCACCAUCAUCACAAGAAGACCCUUUGUUGUGACUGGUACCCAUAUCUUCAUGAGUUUUCAGCCUGAAGAGGCCUUUCACAACAGGAAGACAUCUGGAUAAUCCCAAGCCAUUUGGCAUCAUCCCCAAGCCAUCUCUUCUUAGGUGUGUAAUUUGUUCAACACAAAAUUUGGAGCUUAGAGUCUCACACGUGAUGCAGGAAAAAAUAUGAAAGCUCAGCCUUUUCCCAAGUCAACCUCAGUUAUUUAUUCUUACCAGCCCUGCCCAUCAUAAUUUCUAAGAGCAGGCUAUAAAUCAGCAGGAAGUAAGUAUUGUUUUGACUAAUGUUUGUAUAUUUAUUCAUUUAUUGGCUGUGCCUUGUAUAUACUCUACUACUGAGCUACACUUCCAGGAACACUUUUUUUUUUUCCUAAUUGGCAGCAGCUGACAUCUUAUUUCCUGACUCCUAUAAUUCUUGUUGGUCAAGUUCUAUUUUAACAGAUGGAUAUAAAUAAAAUCAUUCAAUGAGGUAAUAACAAGAGGUCCCUACAUGCUGCAUGAGCACCAACAUCUCAUUAAAUGUGAGUAUCUGUACAGUGUAACCUGUUUUUUUUGUUUUUUGUUUUUUAAGAGGUAGACAACCACAGUGCUGUAUUUUUAGAUACGUCAGUGAGGCAGGCACCCACACAUGCCACCACAUUCCUCUUAACAAUAAAGACAGCUCUUCUCUUCUCUUCUCUUCUCUUCUCUUCUCUUCUCUUCUCUGGCUCAGAGGAGACAGGGCUGUGAUGACCUGGCAGUUUUUCUUCAGUGUCACCUUUUUUACAAUCAGCAAGCCCUCCACUCUCAUCUCUAAAUUCAGUGCUUAGCACAGCAGUUGACAGCAAGUAGCAUAGGAAAUCCAGGCCCAUUGCUGGUCAGUGAGGCCUUAGCAACAAGAUGGACAGCAGCACCUCUAGCCCUGGUAGCUGGACCCUCAGAAGCAGACAACUAAAAGACCAGUAAUACCCAGGGAUAUGUAAAUGAUGCCCCAAGGAGAGAUGUCACCACCUUCCCUAGAGACAGGCAUGCAUGAGGGUCGUCACGGGGUAGGCGAACACUCACUAGUCUUCACAGCCAAUUUGGCAGUCAGGAUAAAAAUAUAACACCAGCGCAUCAUUUUCCAAAAUUAAGGGCGAUGCUAUAGCAAAUGUAUGCAGAUGUAUACAGACACAGAUGGGAACAAAUGUAUUUAAUUGUAAAUGAGUCAGAACGGAGCAAAUGAGAUUUCCCUUAUAUUUGGGUUCCAAAAAUUACAGAAAAAAUGUGCCUGAGGCAGAAACAAACCAAAAUCAUAAAAGGGUGGGGGAUACAGUGGGGUGGGAGUUGUUUGUAGAGGCAGAAGCCUCAAGGGAAAAAAACCUUUGGCAUCCAGAGGCUAAGAUGGCUUUGGUCCUCUCUGGGAGUUAUAAAAAUGUCCUAGCUCCAAAGAACCAGAUUCCAGUGGCACUAGAUGGCUGAAGUGCUAAUGGAGUGGACACAGGAACAUGUGAGCAGGACUCAAGUACCUUGGCUUCAUCCAGCCCGUAGAUACCCAAGAAAAUAAAGAAAAGUCUUUAAUGGGAGAGGGGCAAGCCAAAAGCUAACUUUUGUAUUCUCAAGAAACAAGCUGAGGCAGAGAGACAGACAGAAGAGAGGGAGGAAUGUCUUUGCCCAGCUCCAUAUAACCAGAGAAGGGGCCAGAGAGAGACAAAGGAAUAACAAAAGAAUAGGGUGUGUUUGGGACCAUCAUUUCUCUUAACAUCUUCAAGGAAUUGCCAGGCUCUUGGUACACAUUCAGAAAAUACUGGAAGAAGGGAAGGAUGGAAAGAACAAUAUGUCGUUCUCCAAGUCCCUCCCAUUUUGUGGGAUGAAGAACCAUUGCAGCAUUGCAGCAAAUUGCCCAAGUGAGAAAGAAAUAGCUUCCCUCAGGGUCAGGUCAGAUGAGUAAGGCGGUGUAACACAUACACCCCGCUGACCUCCUCCCUUGUAAGCUCAGGCCCUCCAACGGCAGCAUUCUGGACAACACGUAUCUACCUCUUCUGACUGAGCAAUUGCAACUUGUCCCUCAGAGAACAAAAAAACAAUGGUUUCAACCUAGUAGAGUGACUGGAAAUCUCCAGGGACAACAAUGCAAAAUGCAAGUCAGAAAACUGUGCAUGUGGGUAACUUCCAGGGCCUGCACCUCAUGGGCAUUUAAUAAUGAAUGUGUGAAUGCAGCCAUGUGGAAAUGAGGGAACACAACAAACUCUCCCCACCCAAAAUAGGUCUCUGUGAUUUGGGCCUUUCCCUUGCCCUCCCUGGACUGUUUCCUCUGUGUACCAACGGCUCUCUCUCUCUGCCUCUCAGUCUGGAGAAGCAGCAAACCCAGCCUUUUUCCUCUGAUCCAGCUUCCCUGGCUGGUGAAUUCCAGGAAGCCACAAAGUACAAACAAAGCCUGCUCCUGGAGGAAAAGGCUGGGGAGCUUUUAUCCCCAGCCAACCCUGCAUACUUUGGGUGAUCACAUGUGUUGCCCUAGUCUUAUCUCUCCAGAAGGCCCAGAGGGCUGUGUUUGCUUGGCUGACAUCUGGAUGUAAGGCCACCACCCACCUUGACCUCUGUAUUCAGCUGCUAGAAAUUGUAUAUGUGUGCCUGAUAUUCUGCAGAUGGACAUAGGAGAAGUCUAAGUGUUCUGAGUGCCACACACCUGGAGCAGCACAAGGUUUAAUGCUGAGGGUCCUUUGAGCAACCCCUUCAGGGGCCCAGUUUGCCAGUUACCAGUGGAUAAUGAGAGGAGUGUGGCAGGAUGUGUCACAACUGUAGCAUCUACCAAACUCGAUAAUUAAUUGGAAGGCAGAUUUGAUAAGAUGGAGAAAAAAGAGAGAGAAAAAUCUCUGACAGUAUAAGCAAUAGAGCUGACCACGUGAGGGAAAAGCAUCUAGUGGAAGCGUCAGUUCGAUGCUAAGAUCUGGAGAAGCAGCCCUACUCGAUCAUCUCCAAGCAAGAACUAAAAACCAACACUGCGCUUGUGUUUGCUAAGAGCUGUCUUUGUUUGAGUUCCUUGAAACAGAUCCUGCAAAGGGACUUUAGUACAAAUAGUUUAUUCAUAAAGUGAUUCCAGGAGACACUCACAGGGGUGCGAGGAAGUAGAAAAAGAAAGGAAGGAAACCACUAAUGGUGUUUUGUUAAGCUAUUAUAUGGAAAAUCGGAGCCCAGAUCUGAUGGGGAACUGUGGAAGACAAUGGAGAACAUACAGAGGGUUAUCCUAACCAAUGAGGGAGGAAGCUGCAGUAUUCACUCACACACACACACACACACACACACACCCCAUUGGUUGAGAAAUGCUUCCUGGCUGAGUCAUUAACUCUUCUGACACCCCCUUUUCUUGUUUAGAGGCCAUGAAGUUUCCUGUGGCUAGAGCAAAACUGUCAGCAGAGACCCAGGCUGGAGAGAGUAUUCUGUGUGGGCAGAGAUGAGGACUGAGCGAUUGGAGCAGAACAACAUCUGCUAAGAUGCCUGGAGCCUUCCAAACAAUAUCUUGGGCAAAUUUGAAGGGAUUUUCUAUGCUUUAAAACUAAACAAUCUCCCCCUGUAUCUCCUGUUUUCCUCAAAGUAUCAAGGCAAUACAAAGCACCCACACUAUCCCUCCUUUCACUUGUUCCUGUUGCUUUUAAAUGCCCUUUUUUGUCAUUGGAAAAUGGCUUUGAAUGUCCAGGAAAUGUUCUUGCCCUAGUAUAAAUUACUAUACAAUUAUGGUGGUGGUCUAACGUGGCGGAAGGCCAAAGCAGGGCCCCUUAGCACUCCCCGCUGCUUCUUCGGCCCUAAUUGCAACUCCCUUUCCUGUUUGCACGCACAAAGUAUUCCAAUCAGUUCCUCACACGUUAUCAGUUUCCAUCCCAUGCACCACUUCUGAUCAGAGGCCAUAUAGCCCUCUGCCUUUCUGUGUCUGGUGGAAGGAGACAGUCUAGCUGCCAUGGGUUGUGUGUUCCUUUCCACGUCCUCAACUUAAUAAACCUGUUCGUUGUGUA